GCAUCCUGUGGAAAGGAAAGCAACUCAUUCACGACAUAUUUCUUACGGACAUGUCACGACUCGACUGAUGCAACUGGAUGACGAUUUGACGACUACUACGAGUGACUUGGCUGGCUAUUUUUACUAUGGAUUACUAGGGAUGGCCAUUGGGGAUUAUCUCUUAUCAAUUUGGGUGAUUACAUUAUAGACGAUCGUUAAGCUAUUUGAUGUAAACGAGAUGGCGGAGUGCAAAAUAAGCGCGAAGAGAAUAAGAAAAAGAAGAAUUUCGUGGCCGCCAUGUUGGUACGCCUGUGAGAUAACCGUUGCUGGCUAUGGAUAAUCAGGGGAUUGCAUCUUCGAGCAAGGCAGAGCUUGUCUUAAUAAUAUCCUUUGUCGAAGACAACUA